AGAGUUUGAUCCUGGCUCAGGAUGAACGCUAGCGGGAGGCCUAACACAUGCAAGCCGAGCGGUAGGUUUCCUUCGGGAAACUGAGAGCGGCGCACGGGUGCGGAACACGUGUGCAACCUGCCUUUAUCAGGGGGAUAGCCUUUCGAAAGGAAGAUUAAUACCCCAUAAUAUAUCAGAUGGCAUCAUUUGAUAUUGAAAACUACGGUGGAUAAAGAUGGGCACGCGCAGGAUUAGAUAGUUGGUAGGGUAACGGCCUACCAAGUCAACGAUCCUUAGGGGGCCUGAGAGGGUGAUCCCCCACACUGGUACUGAGACACGGACCAGACUCCUACGGGAGGCAGCAGUGAGGAAUAUUGGACAAUGGGUGAGAGCCUGAUCCAGCCAUCCCGCGUGAAGGACGACGGCCCUAUGGGUUGUAAACUUCUUUUGUAUAGGGAUAAACCUACUCUCGUGAGAGUAGCUGAAGGUACUAUACGAAUAAGCACCGGCUAACUCCGUGCCAGCAGCCGCGGUAAU
rnacentral:rRNA from 1 species